GUUAGAUGCGAUGGGGGGACGGAUCGCGGAAGGUUGUCCGGGUGUUGGACGUCCCGGUCGCUGCAUUGGAGAAGGCGCUUAGGCAAAUCCGGGCGCAGGAUUCAAGGGUGUGGCGCGAGCGACUUCGGUCGCGAAGCAAUUGGAAGUGGUUCCAAGAAAAGCCUCUAAGCUUCAGUCUAACGAUGACCGUACCGCAAACCGACACAGGUGGGCGAGAUGAGUAUUCUAAGGCGCUUGAGAGAACUCGGGAGAAGGAACUCGGCAAAUUGGUACCGUAACUUCGGGAUAAGGUACGCCCUUGUAGCUUGACCAGCCUGCGCUGGAAGGGUGAAGGGGUUGCAAUAAACUGGUGGCUGCGACUGUUUAAUAAAAACACAGCACUCUGCAAACACGAAAGUGGACGUAUAGGGUGUGACGCCUGCCCGGUGCCGGAAGAUUAAAUGAUGGGGUGCAAGCUCUUGAUUGAAGUCCCGGUAAACGGCGGCCGUAACUAUAACGGUCCUAAGGUAGCGAAAUUCCUUGUCGGGUAAGUUCCGACCUGCACGAAUGGCGUAACGAUGGCCACACUGUCUCCUCCCGAGACUCAGCGAAGUUGAAGUGUUUGUGAUGAUGCAAUCUACCCGCGGCUAGACGGAGAGACCCCAUGAACCUUUACUGUAGCUUUGCAUUGGACUUUGAACCGAUCUGUGUAGGAUAGGUGGGAGGCUAUGAAACCGGAACGCUAGUUUCGGUGGAGCCGUCCUUGAAAUACCACCCUGGUUUGUUUGAGGUUCUAACCUUGGUCCGUGAUCCGGAUCGGGGACAGUGCAUGGUAGGCAGUUUGACUGGGGCGGUCUCCUCCCAAAGGGUAACGGAGGAGUACGAAGGUACGCUAGGUACGGUCGGAAAUCGUGCUGAUAGUGCAAUGGCAUAAGCGUGCUUAACUGCGAGACCGACAAGUCGAGCAGGUGCGAAAGCAGGUCAUAGUGAUCCGGUGGUUCUGUAUGGAAGGGCCAUCGCUCAACGGAUAAAAGGUACUCUGGGGAUAACAGGCUGAUACCGCCCAAGAGUUCAUAUCGACGGCGGUGUUUGGCACCUCGAUGUCGGCUCAUCUCAUCCUGGGGCUGUAGCCGGUCCCAAGGGUAUGGCUGUUCGCCAUUUAAAGAGGUACGUGAGCUGGGUUUAAAACGUCGUGAGACAGUUUGGUCCCUAUCUGCCGUGGGCGUUGGAUAUUUGAAGGGGGCUGCUCCUAGUACGAGAGGACCGGAGUGGACGAACCUCUGGUGUACCGGUUGUGACGCCAGUCGCAUCGCCGGGUAGCUAUGUUCGGAAGAGAUAACCGCUGAAAGCAUCUAAGCGGGAAACUCGCCUUAAGAUGAGAUAUCCCUGGAGGCUUGACCUCCUUGAAGGGUCGUUCGAGACCAGGACGUUGAUAGGUCGGGUGUGUAAGCGCAGUAAUGCGUUCAGCUAACCGAUACUAAUUGCCCGUAAGGCUUGAUCCU
rnacentral:rRNA from 1 species